AUUGAACGCUGGCAGCAGGCCUAACACAUGCAAGUCGAGCGGAUGAAGGGAGCUUGCUCCUGGAUUCAGCGACGGACGGGUGAGUAAUGCCUAGGAAUCUGCCUGGUAGUGGGGGAUAACGUCCGGAAACGGGCGCUAAUACCGCAUACGUCCUGAGGGAGAAAGUGGGGGAUCUUCGGACCUCACGCUAUCAGAUGAGCCUAGGUCGGAUUAGCUAGUUGGUGGGGUAAAGGCCUACCAAGGCGACGAUCCGUAACUGGUCUGAGAGGAUGAUCAGUCACACUGGAACUGAGACACGGUCCAGACUCCUACGGGAGGCAGCAGUGGGGAAUAUUGGACAAUGGGCGAAAGCCUGAUCCAGCCAUGCCGCGUGUGUGAAGAAGGUCUUCGGAUUGUAAAGCACUUUAAGUUGGGAGGAAGGGCAGUAAGUUAAUACCUUGCUGUUUUGACGUUACCAACAGAAUAAGCACCGGCUAACUUCGUG
rnacentral:rRNA from 1 species